UUGUCAUAAAUAUGGCAAUAUACCUAAGAGGCACGUUUCUGGUUUGAACUCAAUAUGUUGCUCAGUUAUCAUUUCUAGUUAUUUAUGAAUUUUCUCCCAGUAACUCCUUGCUUUCUUACAUGCCCACCACAUGUGGUACUUUGAUCCUGGAGUCUAGUUGCAUUUCCAACAAUUGGCAGAGGAGUUCUUAUACAUUUUGGCCAAUCUUUCUGGUGGCAAGUGCCACCUGUAAAACAUUUUGUAAAGGUUUUCUUUAUAUACCGCGGCCAUCAUUAGUUUGUAGUUUCUCUCCCAAAUUUUUAACCAUUUUUCUAAUUCUAUGUUGUAUCCAAAAUUCCUUGCCCAGGCAAUCAUUGUUUCUUUAACUAUCUCUUCCUCCAUUUUAUAGUUCAGUAAAUAAUUAUAUAUAUAUAUUUAAUCAAUUUUUUAUCCGUGAUAUAUUUAAUCAAUUUUCAUCCAGUGCUGUUUGCUCUUUGUUUACACCCCAUAAUUUAAGAUCUUUUUCAUGCCUUGCUUGGAACUGCAAAUAUGGCCACCAAGAUAAGUCCAACCCCUGCUUCUGCAAUUGUCUGGAUUUAAGAUCCCCCCCUUUCAUCUAAAAUGUCCUUAUAUUUUCCCCCAAUUUAUAAGAUUUGGAUAUAUUAUUGCCGCCGAUGGAGGUACUUCCUUAUAUAGUGUUGUAGUUUAAUUUUUCCCCAACACGUUCCUCACAUAAUGCCUAUGGAAAUAUUUGUGUGCCAUACCAGAGAAAGGCAUGCCAGCCUAAUUGUAAGUCGUGCCCUUCUAGUAAUAAUAGUCUUCUGUUAUUCAAGUUUACCCAAUCUUUUAGCCAGGUGAGAGCUGCAGCCUGGUAAUAUAAUUCCCAGUCUUUUAAAAUUUCAGAAAUGGUUAAGAAUAGGCUGGAGGAAAGAAUAACAAUGGCAGAGUUAAUGAACGCAAUCAAAAAACAAAAAAAAAACACAAUAAAACCCUGGGACUAGAUGGUCUAUCAGUAGAAAUAUAUAAAGAAUUAGAAGAUACCUUGAGUCUGUCAAUGCUAGAAGUAUACAAUGAAGUGUUAACGGAAGCUAAAAUUCCGAAUACAUGGAAAGAGGCUUAUAUUACCCUGAUCCCCAAAGAAGAUUCGGAUAUAACUCAAAUUGAAAACUAUAGACCGAUUUUGUUACUAAACACAGACUAUAAAAUCUUCGCAUCAAUAAUUGCAGAAAGAUUAAAAAGUUUUUUAAAUGAAUUCAUCCAUUCAGAUCAAAAUGGGUUUUAGCAAAAAGACUAAUAAAAAUAAUGUUAGAAUAAUCAUGGAUGUACUAGAAUAUUACAAAAUACAUUAUGAAAAAUAGCUAGCGUUAAUAUUCCUGGAUUCACAGAAAGCAUUAGACAAUAUAAAUUGGCAAUUUAUGUUGCAACAAUUAAAUUUUAUGGAAUUUUGUGGAAAAUUUAGGAAUACAAUUAAAGCAAUUUACAUUCAACAGAACACAAAAGUAUUGGUUAAUGGAGAUGUAACAGAAAGCUUUAGUAUACAAAAGGUUGUCCCCUCUCCCCAUUAUUAUUCAUUUUAACAUUAGAGGUAUUGACGAGGAACAGACAAGAUACAGAGAUAAAAGGAAUGGAAAUUAGAAACGAAAAGUACAAACUCCAAGCUUUUGCUGAUGACUUAGUGUUUAUAUUAGAAGAACCCUUAGAAACUGGCCUUAAAUUGGUCAAGAAAAUUGAGGAAUAUGGAAAGGUGGCAGGGAUGAAAAUAAAUAAAGAUAAAACCAAGAUAUUAGUUAAAAAUCUCACCAACAAACAGAAAAAGGAAUUGACAGAGAAAAUUGACCUACAGAUAGAAAAGAAUGUUAAAUACCUUGGUAUUUUCUUAACAGCUAGGUGUGGGACAAUCAAAGAGGACAACUAUACAAAGCUGAUACAGCAAAUUAAAAUAGAUUUGGAAAGGUGGAAGAAUGUACAGUUAUCGAUGAUAGGGAGAAUUGCAGUGGUGAAAAUGAACGUACUACCAAAAUUACUCUUUCUAUUUCAAACCAUACCAGUAAAAUUAGAAAAUAAUUUUUUUGAUGAACGAAAUAAAUUGACUCUGCAAUAUAUUUGGCAAGGGAAAAAAAUCGAGAAUAAAAUUGAAAAUAUUACAGGAUUCUAGGAAUAAUGGUGCGAUUUGUUAUUUAUGAACUGAUUGGGAAACCUGAAUAGAGAGGAAGUUUAUGGAUAAAGACUAACAGAGGCAUUGAGCCCUUUCCUCAUGCAUCUCAGUGUGGGUAUGAUCCCUGAAAGAACCUGAAUUGCCACCACCUCCUCUUCUUCCUCCUCCCUAUAUGGGACUGCUGUAAUAGGGCAGGAUUCAGACAUUGCAUCAAGUAAUGAUUUGCUUUAAGCAUGGUCUGUUUAAUAAGACACAGUAGUUAGACUCACACUGAGCCUAAAUCAAAGUGCCACCAUGGGGUAUACAGAUAAGUGAAGAGCCUGAUAGAAAUGUAGUGCUUGGGUGUUCUUCCACAAUUAUUCAGUUAUAUCAUCAUCAUCAUCAUCAUCAUGACCACCAACAUCACCAUCUAUUAUAGUUAUUUUUGUAUUGAUUUUAUUUUAUUUACAAUAUCAUUUGUGAGACAGUUCUCUGGAUGUAGGAGAACAAGGUCUGUGGAGUCUAUCUUAUUGCUUCCAAAAUCAUCAUCAUAAAUAAUAAUCUCCAAAUAUGAUAUUCUGAAUUUUGCCUCAACGUUGAUUGUUUUGAGGCUGAUCCUUUGUUCAGGAUCCCUUUUUCAACAUUUUUUCCCCCAGGAAGGGAUAGAAGGCUUAAGGAGAUAGGGAAAAGAGUGUUUGGUCUUGAAGAAAUGGAAGUUCAUCCAGCUAAAUAGGCAAUAAAACUACUCAGUGUUUCCAUAAUCCUAUCAAUCAAGUACAUUGCUCUGACAGCACAGAAUCCAGAAUAAUGUUCCUUUUAUCUCUUCGUUGUUUCUACCCAGUGGUGAUAACAAAUCAGUUUGUUGGGACCUCAAAAUAUAGUAUAUGUUCUCCUGGUCACAAGGGAAAUAUGUACCUUUCUGGAUGCUCUGUUUCUGAACCCAUCAGUUAAUUGGAUUUUAUUACUCCUGUACUUGAGUCUCCUGAAACAGUGUGAGAAAAUUUAGAAGCAUCCAUAACUUUCUAUGCUAAAAAAGAUCUUUAAAGUAAAGGAGAUGCUCUGAGAAGAUGCAGGACAAGGUUAAAGGUGGCCAAUGAUCAAAGCACCUUUAUUCAGACUCUUUUCAUUUUAUCAAACUGAUUGUAUGGUUGGACUUGUAUGGUUUUUAUUGAUACAUCUCCAACCCCCUGGACAUCUUAGCAUUAUUCCAGAAGGAGAAGAAAACGGCUGUCAAAAUUGCCUUGACUUCAUUCUCACAAAUCACUUGUCAAAAGAUGACUUCCUCCUUCACCCGUUUUUGAUCAUUCAGCCCAGUCCCCUUCAACAAUUGUCUGGGAAUGAAGAUUGAUGUGGGUGUGGUAAAGAGGUCCAACUUGCUUUGUGAGCCAAAACAAAUUUAUAUUUGUUCUCUGUCUCCCUUGGAUGACUCACGUGCCCCCUUCCAUAUUGUGCCGAAAGAACACAAAGGAAUGGAGCCCCGUGUGAAAUGAAAUUCAAAUUAAGUUUUCAAAAUACAAACACCGUGUUAUACAUUGUAUGAAAAAAUCAGGAGAUCAAAGGAAGUUAAGUCUGCUGUUCCAGGGAAAUGCAUUUCUUUAAAUAUCUCCACGAUCACAGUGUGACUGAAUGUCCUAGCAUAGCACUAUUUUAUUUUUUUUUAACAUGUAGUAAUAAGUUAAAAAGAUUUUACUCCAAGGCAGCUGUGGUGGCAAACAGUUGAUGAUAUGAUUUCAAACUGAUAGUCUCUUUUAUGUGCUAGGAAAACAAAGCAUUAUAUCAUAGGCAUGCACUCAUACAACCGCGAUGACAUUUAUAGUGUACUGCUUUUAUAAAGUAAUUUCUGACAUGUACUUCCAAACCAUAUUAAGGGGUUGUAAAAUUAUACUAAUGAAAGAAAAGCUUUUUUAGGAAUGGUUUUAAAUUUACCCCUUAGGUUUAAUCCAUUUCCACAUUAUGCAAACAUUCUUCACUUAACGUCUGGGACUUUUUAUAAAUAAGGUCAGAUUGAACAUUGUGCUAAGCUGUGACAUGACUUGGUUUGGAUCCAUGGUGUUGUGGGAUCCCAGUGAGGGUGUUCUUUCUCUUGCUCAAUGCAACUUAUUUUCUCUUCUCUUCUUGAAGUAUUGUUUCUCAAUCCCUCACUCUGGUAGUCUUCCUCCUUCUAGACUAUGUUGGGGGUUUUUUUUCCCCCUUGAAAACAUUCCACUUCUCCUCCAAGAAGCUUCUUCAGAAUGGUGGGGAACGGAAGGAUUUAUAUUCUUUGCAAUCAUCUGAGAGUCCUUGAGGCCACUUGGAGAUUUACCUGUAUUUUCAGACAGGAGUGGGCUGCUGGGGGUUCGCAGGGGUUCGGGAGAACCUCUAGCUAAGACUCUGUGCAGUUCGGAGAACCCCCAAACCCAGUCCUGGCUGGCCCCGCCCACCCCACCCUGCCCCUCCCAGGAGUCCCCACGAGGCCUAUUUUGGAUGCAAGUAAGUGCAGGGUGCAUGCAGAGGCUUGGGGAGGGUGAAAAAUGGGCCUACCGGAAGUUCGGGAAGGCCGGAAAUGGGCCCAUUUCCGGCCUCCAGAGGGCCUCCGGAGUCUGGGGAGGCCGUUUUUGCCCUCCUGGAGGCUUGAGGAAAGCCUCUGGAGCCCAAGGAGUAGGCCAUGCCCACCAUGGCCAUGCCCACCCAGCAACCGGGCAGAGAAACCCCUGCUAAAAUUUUUGAAGCCCACCCCUAUUCUCAGAGUCACCUGAAUCAGACUGCAAAUGGGUAUAGAACCUUCUUGAGGUUGGUCUCAGGAACCAGAUGACUGCAAGGAAUAUAAACCCUUCCAUUCCCCAGUAUUUGGUUAAAACUGAAGAAGCUUCUGAGAUGAGAAGUGAAAUGUUUUCAAGGAAAAAAAACCAAGCAAGCCCAGUUGCCUUUUGAAAAAGCACCUUUGGGACAACCAUGACCUGGAUGACUGAGGAUCUCCACCGACAUCCUUCCUCUGUCUAUUUUCUUUACUAUCACGGCCUGUUCCAGACAAGAAUCAUGGCCAUUGAAGAAAGAGAUAUUAUCUUCCCUCCAAGACAAUAUUUUCUAUAAAAAGUCUCUGCCCACCCCUACCAAGAGGGAAGAAAUCUGAUAAUCAACGAAAGCACAAUUGAUGCAAAUUAAACCCCAGUGACAACUCAAGGGGGUACAGUUUUCUUGAAAAAAAUGGGGUUCAAUUUGGGAUUGAAAGAUAAUGUUCUUCCUACCAUGGACAGUUCCCACUCUGUUUCUACUGCCACACCACUUACCCCUCUGCAUUUUAACAAUAUUAAGUAACAUUGUUAAAUUAAAUAAUUAUAUUGUUAUUUGGAACUUCCCCAGGUAAGGAAAAUAGGAACGGUAAUCUCUACUCAAUGUCUAUGGAGAUUCUCAGUCAUUCAGGUCAUACCUGUCCCACAGGUGCUUUUUCAGGAGGCAACUGGACUUUCUUGUCUUUACUUUGAAGACAUUUCACUUCUCAUCCUUCAGGGAAACAGGGCAGAAAAUAUCCUUUAGCCAAGAAGGCUCCACAACCAUUUGCACUACUCAGGUGACCCUGAGGACAGAGGUAAACCUCCAAGUGGCCUCAACGACUCUCUAAAAGGAUGCAAAUGACCAGCUGUCUGCAAGGAAUAUAAAUCCUUCCAUUCCCCCCAUCCAGUCAGAGCUGAAGAAGCUUCUUGGAUGAGAAGCGAAACAUCUUCAAAGAAAAAACAGGAAAGUCCAGUUGCCUCCUGAAAAAGUACCUUUGGGAUAAUCUCUGCUGGAUUAACCAAAACAGUAAUCAACAGUAGGGCGUCUGUUUGUCCUAGUAUGUGAAGGCAAUCUUUGGUUUGAAAGGAUAUCCAUUCAAAAUUCAGCUGUGAGUUCAAAGAUGAAAGAUUAUUUCAUCAUUAGCUUCUAUAGCACCUGCCUAGCGUGGUCAUUAUUGGUCAAAGGCUUCCAUGCCAUAGGGAGAUAUGCUGGAUCAAUGUGUAAAUGUGAAUGUUUUACUUUUUUGUAAUGCUGAGAAAACCAUGCUAAGAAACCAUACUGAGAAAACCGGGCUUCAUAUUUUAAGACUGUUUUGCCUGCCUUGAAUUGAGGCUGCUCUUAUCUCAGCAGCAAAGCUGUCAUUUUUUUAAUCAGACUCAAUCUGCUAAAAUCUAUGUUUAUGUUGCAUUUACAUUCCACUUUUUCUCCAAACAUGGGUGGUAUCUCUUUCUCCAAUUUUUGUCUUUACCUCAACUCUGCAAAAUAGGCAGGACAGAUAAGAUCAUGGCAAGUCUGACAUUACAGAAUGAAACUUAUAAAUUAAAUCUCUCUUUGUCCAGUCUUCUAAUCAUCAUGUUCCAUUGUCUCUUAUUUAUUGGAUCACACAAUCCUUAAAACACUAGGAAAUUGAUUACGGUAAAUAAUCACAUUUUAUAUACCCACCCACUUGACAUAAGGACUCUGGGUGGUAUAUAAUAGAACAACCCAUAAUAGAUUUUUAAGAACCCAUUAAAAUACAACCCAAAUCAUUAUCAUUAAAGAUAUAAAAGCAAAAUGGUAAGGAAUACAUACAGUACAAAUGGGUGCAUUCCAAUUAACCAUUUAGAUGGCACUCUUGCAUAAGACCCCCCAGCUCAGUUGACCAAGAUCUCUCUGAAAUAUUUGUUCUUCAAGUUUCAUCUGCAAAAAAAGGCAAAGGACAAAGGACUAUAAAUGGUCUGCUGGCAGCCAGGCACAAUUACUUAUUGGCUCUAUCACCUGCCAUUCACAUUCCUCCUACCUGCUGCAGCACAGUGUCCAUUCCAUUCUAUUAGGACAAUCAAAGAGGGAAAGCUGGAAGGCAAAAUCUUUGGAAUAUGCUAGCCUACUCAGAAAAGCAUACUUUAAAGCUAAUAAGUUGUGGGCUUUUUAACAAGGGCUGAUGCACAGGUAUUGUAUGAAUAUUAAAUGAUGAAUCACAUCUUUGAACAAUGUUUGAUAUAUAUAGUAUGAACAAGACAUUUGAGGGGCCAUAGAUUAAGCAAAUUGAGAUCAAUAAUACAGAGAUAUUUGUUUCAAUAAUAUAAUCAUUAUUGCAUUAGAUCAGUGUUUCUCCAACUUGGCAACUUUAAGUUGUGUGGACUUCAGUUCCUGGAACCUCCCAGCUACUGUGUUAGAAUCAGGAAUUAAUAAUUUUUAUGGAGAGUUUUUUUUUUUUUGAGGGGUGCUCUUAAAAUUAGUUCAUUUCACUGAGUUGGUGCAUGGAUUUAUACCACUGAGUCCUACUCUGAUGGUACUAUUGAAUAUAAGAUUAGUAGAAAAGCAUGAUUAAUAUAUAUGAUUCUAUCCAUUUUGUUAACUUUCCUUAAGAAGCCAAAUAACUCAUUUUAACAUCCUUUCCCCUGGCUUUUAAAAUGAAUGGAUACAAAAAUAUCUUUGUAAUAUUAUUAAAAAUGGAACAUGUUGAAGUUUCUUUCCAACUUCUUCUGACUCACAUAACUGUUUCUCAUAUGAUUGAUGAAUUGCAAUAUUGUGUGCUCAAACAUUAGUGGAAAGAAAUGGGAGGCUGGGGAGAAGGGAGGAAAGAAGGAAGGAGAGAGAGAAAGGGAAGGCAACAGAAGGCAUGAUGGAGGAAAGAGAGAAAAAACAAUGGAAAUGAAAAUCAAAUGAGAAAAGUCAGUAGUCUUUCCUUCCUUCCUUCCUUCUUUCCUUCCUUCCUUCCUUCCUUCCUUCCUUCUUUCCUUCCUUCCUUCCUUCCUUCCUUCCUUCCUUCCUUCCUUCCUUCCACAUAUGGACCAAAAUUAACUGCUCAUGAUACAUUUACAGAAUGCUUUAGAAAUUUUCAUGUGUAUUGAUAGGGAGAGACAUUGGAACUGCCAAAGAAUUUAAGUAAUGAAAUUGGUUCAACUCAAUUCAACAAAUAAAUUUAGUUGGGUUAUACUCUUAAGGAUUCUUACCAGAUAUAUGUUCUUUGAAAACCAGUAAGGUUUACAUAUAAAUAGAAUUGCACAUAUUACUAAAAUCUAAAUCUAAAGUGUUUUCUGGACAAAAGAAAUAUCAGAAACAUACUACAAACAAAAACUAUUCAUAUGUUGGUAAAAGAAAAAACCUAGUUUUCUGAUUUCAGUAUAAAUUAUAUUUUAGAACCAAAAUAUUCUCUAUAUUCCCCAGUAGAAUGUAUUUCUUUGUUAUACUUAUUCCCAAAUAUACCCAAAGCUUUAGUUGCUUAAUUAAACUAAUUUAAAUCAUGCAGUUUGUGAAAUAUGUCAAAAUUGUUGAUUACUGAUGUUCACUUAGCAACUCGAAAUGUUGGCUGUGCCUAAGACUAUUCCUGAUUAGAUUAUCACUUAAACUAUGCUUUUAGUGUAACAAAUCAGUAACAAGAUGUUAUGAAUUCUGGUUCAUAUGCUUACUCAGGGAGAAAGACUAUGAACAAACCUGAUUCUUCAUGAUAUGCAUGAAAUCAAGUAACUGUGAUUUGUUUUAGCCAUAAUUAAGUAGGAGUAUCUAUGGUUGCAGAUUCUAGGUUGUAUUAAUUUACCAGGCUGCACUACUAUCCAAAUUCAAAGUGGAAAAGUAUGAUUGGACAGCCUGCCAGAAAUUCCUUAAAGGGGCAGAAUCUUUUUCUGAGCUUUGAUGUAAGGACCUGCUGAUAGCUGCAACAAGCAUUCUCAUAUCUGAAGAUUUAUUAGUUUUUUAUCCCAUUUUAUUAUUUUAUAAGUUACCCAAGGCAGCAAACAUACAAUACAUAAUGCUCCUUCCUCCUCCUUCUCCUAUUUUCCUCACAACAUCAACCAUGUAAGAUGGGUUGGGCUAAGCGAGAGUGACUAGCACAAAGUCACCCAGCUGCUUUUCAUGUCUAAGAUGGCACUAGAACUCACAGUCUCCUGGUUUCUGGGCCAGCACCUUAACCACUAUACCAAAGGGUGCUUUCUCCUUUGAAAUCUUAUUACUGCACAACCUUAAUACUUACUAACAUAAGGGUUUCCCAAAUUUGAGUGUAAUGUUCAUCUGCUUUUUAAAGAAAACGAAGAAUGUUCCUUUCUCUUCUACCCAAAAAUGAAAAAGAGAAAGAAUCCAUGAUGUACUUUGGCUUUUUCCUAAGAAACAAACCCAUGUUUUAUGUUUUCUCAAUUGGUGCUCUUUCUCUCUCUCUGUCUCCCUCCCUCCCUCUCUCUCUCUUUCUCUCUCUCUCCCUCCCUCCCCCUCUCUCCCUCCUUCUCUCCCUCCUCUCCCCCCUCCCUCUCUCUCUUGAGAGAUGAGAGAGAAAGAUUUGCAGCUACCCUUUUUUGAUCUCAGUAGAUCCUUCCCUAUGAGGAAAUAAAAGACUGAUUGACAGCUUGUCAAAAGUUUAGCACUAUUUAUGGUAUAGGAGAUGUGGCACCCUGUCCACUAUCCAGUUGUAGUUCUGUUCCUUUAUGGCUUUUUGAUGUUAGAAUUUGUGAUGUCAGAAAGGAAACCAUGUCUCAGAGGCCCGGGGAAGUUUUGUCCCUCACCACCACAAAAGAAAGGGUCCUAUCUAGCAAGGUAUACUGGCCAAGGUUACUAACCCUAAAGAUGACUGGCAGUGUUUAGGUAGUUAGUCUGAAGAGUGGAGAGAUGCACCUAAGGUCUCUGAGGCUGAAUAAAUUCUUCUGGGAUUGUCAGCAUCACAUAUGAUGUUUCUCAAAUGUUGGGUACUCAACAACAUUAGAUAUAUCCAGUACAUUUUUGUAUCAGUAUUUAUGUACGGACUACAUACAAGGAGAUGUAAAAACAAAAAAGGAUCUAAUCAUUUGUAGACUGUAGACUGAAAAAAAAAGUCUAUUUUGCUGUUACUAAUGUACAAAAUGUCAAAAAGCCAAGAAAUAUACGCUUUGUGUUCUGGUGUCAAAUGAUGUAUUUUAUGGAGAUUUACUGUAUCAAACCAAUAACAGCUGAACAAAUGGAACCAUUUGAGGGAAAUUUGCGAUGAUGUGAAAUUUGCCUGUUUGUAUUUUAUUUUUCCCCUCCCUUUUUAGCAAACUUACAUCCUGAUUCCAGUGCCUGAAUAUCAAAUACAGUGGAGAUCAAUACAUCUCCACAAACGCUGCCAGGUAUGGGUUUACAUUCCUCAAGCAUUUUCAAAUGUUUUCCGUUAUUUCUGUUCAGGCUUCCUUGAUUCCCCAGCCUGAAAUAUAAACAGACGAACUUUUGAAUACUGUGUUGUUCAUCAUUAGCUAGCCAAAGACCGAGCAAAAUUUCAAAUAUAAUUAGGUAAUAAAGUGGGGUUUGGGGUGGAGUGGGAUGGGAUGGGAUGGGAUGGGUAGAGAUUUUUUUGUUUCUGUUUCAAGUGGAGAGAGAGAGAAAGAGAGAGAGGAGAAAAAAAUAGAUCAGUAUGAAUAAGUCUUGAGUUGCAAAGAAUGAUUUGAGAUCAUAUCUGAAAGAACUUAUUGAUUUAGCAUUUACAACCUGAAUGCCAGAUUUGGGGUCAACGCAGUAAGAUUGUAUUGCAUGCCUCUGUUUUUUUCCCCUUGCCUCUUUUUAUUGCCAACAAGACGCUCCUGUCAUCUUCAAGAUCAUCAACAGAAACUCUACAGUGGGAGGAAGACCUGGGUUAUUGGAAGAUAUAAAUGCAUUCUUUCCUGAGCAUCUCUGAGAAAAUGCGAGUUAUAAAUAUAGUAAGUACUGAACGUUGUUAUGGAAAGCAAUUUGAUAUCAGCUCUUAUGAUUUCUGUCAGCUGCUGCAUAAACUGCAGUGAGGUUUUGUUAUGUUUCCGAUGGCAUUUCAAUAUAUAUUAUUAUUAUAAUGUAUAUAAAUAAACUUUUCUAUUUCAGCAGGCUGGCCUGGCCUAACUCUCCUCUUUUAAAUUUUUUAAUUCGUGAUUUUAUAAAUUGGGUGUUUUAAUCUGUGUUUCGGCCAAAAUAUUUAAUAAUUUUAAGGGAUUUUUAAUAUUUGUAUUAUCUGUAUUUUAUCUUGGCUGUUCACCGCCCUGAGUCCUUCGGGAGUAGGGCGGUAUAGAAAUUUGAUUAAUAAUAAUAAUAAUAAUAAUUAUUAUUAUUAUCAAUAAUUCUAUAAUAAUUAAACAUUAGCAAUUAAACAUAUAAUAGAAUGAAUAUUCAAUAUGUAUAAUAUUACCCAUAUGAUUUAAAGCAUACUUUUAAAAACAUGCUCUCUUUUGCUUCUUGUAACGAUUUUGAAACCAUGCGGAUAAUUGUCAGCUUUAUUUUUUUUUAAAAAAUGAGUCCCAAAAUUGUACAUGGUUAAAUGUUGUUUAUACAUGAUAUUAUACAAAUUAAUUAAUUUUCAUAUACUGGAAAGAUUAAGUGUUCCUACAUUUCAAAUUGCAUUUCCAUGUAGGCUUUUGAGUGUAUUGUUAUAACAAUUAAUCCAUCCUGAAUUUAUGAGUAUUAAUAAAGAAAUGUAACCGCCACUGUUUUAAGAGAUAUAUGGAACGUUUUAAUUUUCGUAAUAAAUUUUAAAAAUGUAUUUCAAGCCCUAAUGUUCACUCCACAGCCUUCAGAACUGACACAGUUUAAAAGAAGCAUUAAAUUAGAAGCUACUAAGA